rnacentral:rRNA from 1 species
ACGCUCGACACCUACGGGAGGCAGCAGUGGGGAAUAUUGCACAAUGGGCGAAAGCCUGAUGCAGCAACGCCGCGUGAGCGAAGAAGGCCUUCGGGUCGUAAAGCUCUGUCCUCAAGGAAGAUAAUGACGGUACUUGAGGAGGAAGCCCCGGCUAACUACGUGCCAACAGCCGCGGUAAUCUGAGCGGGCUGGCAAGC